rnacentral:rRNA from 1 species
GAUGAACGCUGGCGGCGUGCCUAAUACAUGCAAGUCGAGCGAACGGACGAGAAGCUUGCUUUUCUGAUGUUAGCGGCGGACGGGUGAGUAACACGUGGAUAACCUACCUAUAAGACUGGGAUAACUUCGGGGAACCGGAGCUAAUACCGGAUAAUAUUUUGAACCGCAUGGUUCAAAAGUGAAAGACGGUCUUGCUGUCACUUAUAGAUGGAUCCGCGCUGCAUUAGCUAGUUGGUAAGGUAACGGCUUACCAAGGCAACGAUGCAUAGCCGACCUGAGAGAGUGAUCGGCCACACUGGAACUGAAACACGGUCCAGACUCCUACGGGAGGCAGCAGUAGGGAAUCUUCCGCAAUGGGCGAAAGCCUGACGGAGCAACGCCGCGUGAGUGAUGAAGGUCUUCGGAUCGUAAAACUCUGUUAUUAGGGAAGAACAUAUGUGUAAGUAACUGUGCACAUCUUGACGGUACCUAAUCAGAAAGCCACGGCUAACUACGUG